CGGAGCAUGUGGUUUAAUUCGAAGCAACGCGAAGAACCUUACCAGGGCUUGACAUGCCGCUGACCGGUGCAGAGAUGCAUCUUUAUCCUUCGGGGUACAGCGGACACAGGUGGUGCAUGGUUGUCGUCAGCUCGUGUCGUGAGAUGUUGGGUUAAGUCCCCGCAACGAGCGCAACCCUUGUCUUUAGUUGCCAUCAUUAAGUUGGGCACUCUAAAGAGACUGCCGAUGACAAAUCGGAGGAAGGUGGGGAUGACGUCAAAUCAUCAUGCCCUUUAUGUCCUGGGCUACACACGUGCUACAAUGGUCGGUACAACGAGAAGCAAGUCAGCGAUGGCAAGCAAAUCUCUAAAAGCCGAUCCCAGUUCGGAUUGCAGGCUGCAACUCGCCUGCAUGAAGUCGGAGUUGCUAGUAAUCGCGGAUCAGAAUGCCGCGGUGAAUGCGUUCCCGGGUCUU
rnacentral:rRNA from 2 species